GGUGGAUCACUUGAGGUCAGAAAUUCAAGACAAGCCUGGCCAACAUGGUGAAACCCCAUCUCUACUAAAAAUACAAAAAUUAGCCGGACGUGGUGGCAUGCGCCUGUAAUCCCAGCUAUUCAGGAGGCUGAGACAGGAGAACGGCUUGAACCCAGGAGGCGGAGGUUGCAGUGAGCUGAGAUGGCACCACUGCACUCCAGCCUGGGCGACAGAGCAAGACUCCGUCUCAAAAAAAAGGACAUAAAAAUUCUAACUAAGCAAAAAGGCAAGCACAAAGCUUUAGAUACAGUAUAAUUUAACUAUGAUAAAAUUAAAUAUUUACAUUUUAUGCUAACACAAGACUGACCGGGGAUGUCAUAACAUGCAUGUGCAAAUGGCAAAAAAGCACAAGCAGAUGACAUCCCUCUACACACCCACAAGAGUACUUACAACUAGGAAGGCUGAUGACACCAAGUGUUGCCAGGAGCCUGAAGCAACUAGAAGGCUCACACAUUGGUGAUGGGGCUUACAUGAUAAGGAAUUUCCCACCUGACUAUUCCAUACAACUACACAUGCAUUUACAUUUUGAAACAGUAAUCACACUUCCAGGAACUGACAACUAGAAACAGAAGGUACUUGUACUCGGCUACAUGUAAUCACAAAAUAUUGGACACAAACUAAAUAUCCAUCCAUAGAGACAGGCUGAAUACUCUGUGAAACAUCUAUUUUAAGGCACACUAUGCAACCAUUUUUUGAAAAUGAGGAAGAUCUCUAUGAAUUUACAUGGAAUAAUUUCUAGGAAGAUACAGUUAAGUGAAAAAAGCAAGUUGUAAAAGAGUAUGUAUAGAAUGCUGCCUCUUGUAUAAGAAUGAAGGGAAACAAGAAAAAUAUGUGUGUUUAUGUCUGUGUGUGUGUCACAUGUACAUCCCAAAAGGAAAUACAGGAUGGAGAAAGCAGAAUCUAAUGCAAAUGAUUAUCUUUCUAGAGAGGGGGGUGGAAUGAGGUGAGAGAGAGAAGGAAAGUUUCUGAGCACACCUUUAAAUAUAAGUUACUUACAACCCCAUUCAAGAAAUAAAAUAGAAAGACAAACCUUAAAAUUGAAACAAAUAGAAAAUACAUACCUAUAUGAGUAACCUUUGAAAACAGUAGUUUGUGGAAUUUGACUGUCCUUAUUCUAAGGACGAAAAGACUGUCAAAAACAAACAAAAAAAAUCCUGAAUUUCAACAUCACUGAGUAGAAUGUUGUUGGUGGCACUAGGGCCCUAAUCCUGAACUGCCUGUGAGUGCAGUGGGUAGGGUGGUGUCGCCAGGACCACAGUCGUCAGUGAGAAAGAGCAGCACUGGCACAGAGCAGGAGAAGGGAGAGUCCCAUGGGAUUUGGGUUGGAGGUGUAAGCAGGAACUUAACUUUAUCUUCAGCUGAAGCCAUCUGAAGACUUGCAGGUUUUCUGCCUUCAUAGGAAAACUACAGCCAUUCAGAGGCAGCCCUUCUGCCCCAGUCCAUGCAAGGUCACAGGCUGCUGCUCAACGUCACAUCAUAGCCUAGCUCCUGACAUUUUCAAAGUCACAAAUGGGUGCAAGACGAUUUGGGCCCAAGUAUUAUGGAAACUAAGUUUCUCUUCAUAGCCCUGGCCACAGGUUUAGGAAUUUCAUCUGAAAGGUAGACAGACAGAUACUAAGAUCCUCAGCUGUUGAGGGGAAAGGGUAAGGUUUCCUCUUUAAAAUCACCAUGCUACAGAUCAGUAUUUUGCAAUUUACAACACUGCAUUUGCCAAUCAUCAAGAAGCUGAAGGUGGCCCCAAGAAGACAACACUGGUAUCUGCCCAUCCUCUGCAGGAGGCUUUCCGGUGUCCCCUGCCCACGCCCUGCAAGAACUCACUGGUGCCCAGCUCCAAAGGGGCCUCCUCUGGCUCCCUCGAGACCACCUGACCAGGUGCAAUGGAACAGCGCCCUCAAGGAUGAGGGUGGCAACUGCCUUGGCCAGGCAGGCACACUGCGUCUUCCCUGUUUGCCCUCCCAUCAGUAGUUGGCCCUGGGCUGGAAGGCAAAACAACCGAUCCCACCCAGGUCUUGGUCUGCAAGUCCCCCAAGAAAACCAGUAUUAGUCAGUUUAGCCCCAAAGAGGAUAUGCCUUCCAAAGUGGCCCUCCCUGUGCCAUAUGGGAAGGCCUAGCCACAGGAGCCCAAACAGACUCCAACCUUGCUCAACUAA
rnacentral:lncRNA from 1 species